AAGGUCGCCAGAGCCAUCAAUAUAAAUAUUAAUAUAUAUUUUGAAUUGUCAGACAAGCAUUCAAUUCAUGGACAAAAUUAAUUUAUUUUUGUGUUUCGCAAACUUUUACAUAGAUUAUUUUCCAUUGAUUUUCUCACACUUCUGCUUGUAUGAAAUUGAUUUAUAAUACGUUUUUUGUUUUCUUAACAAUGCUUAAGCGAUUUAUAUUGCAGUUUUGAACAAUUUUCUACGAACAAUUUGUUUGUUUUUGUUUCUCGACGCAUAUUUAACUUAUAUACACAUAAUUGCUAAGGGAAUUAUAUUACAUGGAAAACUAUUCGCCACCCUCUUAAAAGCCGAAACAAAAAAAAAAAAUCACGUUGCCAACUCAUGAGCAGCUAUAAAAAGCAGUUUGUCCGUUAAUUUAUUUACCUUUUUGCAGUUUUUUUCUUUUUGGUUUUUUUUUUAUUAUUAUUUUUUUUUUUGCAUAUUACGUCCAUUGCAUUUCACAGUCCAGUGAUCGGGCGUCUGGCCGCGGCGCCGCUUGACGAUAUCGCAAACACGUGCGAUUUUCGUGGCAAUUUAUCAAAGUUUGGUUGCCAACUAAUUCGGGGCUUAUACUUGGUAUAUAUAUAUAUGCAUAAAUAUAGCCCAAUCACCCUGCUGUCGCACGGACAUGGCACAGGGUUCAAUGCUCAGCCUGGUCUGGGCUUAAAUGCGCGUAGAAAGCGAAUUGGAAUUGGCAGCCGUCGCAUGCAUGACCCCUCAACUGGCACUAACUGGCCCAAAAGGCAUUCGCGUGACACUUGAUACUCGCCACAAGCUCGCUUUCAUAAUGCAUUCGCACAUAAGCAGGGUCAUGCUGGUAUAUUUAUAUGUAUACAACUACUUCUCAAAUAUAUAUAUGUAUAUAAUUUUUGCCACAAUUGGGGCGGUUCAAAGUAACAUGCUUCAAGUCAAACACUUGCGACUUCUGACAUAUGCGACUUAAGCUCUCAAAUUGUUUAAUUAAAGGCGCUUAAGUACAAAUGCACUGAGAAAAACAUUCGACUAAAUCAACAAAAAGCUUGUAAUAAUGCUAAAACGUUAAAUUUGACAACAUAAUUCAUUUAGCUGUUAAGUUCGAAUUCAAUAGCAGAGCUUACACUAAACACUAAACCAUUAAAUUAAACAACCUAUUAUCGAUAACUUUCAUAAGCGCUUAACCAACACUGGCUGGGCUAUCAUUAUUAUUAUUGCGAUAGACUGAAAGCGAAGUUUUUUACAUAUUUUUUCAUGGAAUAUUCAAAAAGUAUUUUGACCGUCUUCACAGUGUGCGAGGGAGUUACAAGGGCAGACUUCAUCACUCAUUUAAGUAGAUGCACGUUGAAAACUCUUUCAAUGAAACGAAACAAAAUGAGUGUGUGCGUGUGUGUGUGUGUGCUCCCCCACAAAAUGAGGGGGCAACGAGUCGAGGCGGAUGGCAACAAAGAGACCAAAGACAAUUUCAACUUUCUUUGGCACAAAAUUUUUGAGCAAAACAAAAAUAAAAAGCACUUUUAAUUAACUGAAUAUGGCAAAAGUGCACAAUGUGUGGAGGAGGGUUGGGGGCUAUUCAUUCGAUUGUUUUCUUAUGAAUUUGUAAGAUUUAUUUAUUUUGUUGGAGGGGGCACGGGACGGGCACUUUACGAGUAGUUUUCAUUGGUGGCUGUGUGGGCGUCUUUGACAGUUCGUGGGCCCGAUAGUAAGAAAGCGCACUUGACAAAUACGUGACAGCCGGUGUCAAAAAAGUCAAAAAAAAAAAAUAUAUAAUACAAAUAACUACCCAUACAUAAUGUGCUGUUAACCAGGCUGAGCUGCGUGCAGAGCUUAAGAUAUAUAGAGCAAAUGGAUUGUAAAUAUUUAAAAAACAUUUUAUACACUGUAAAAUGAGAGAUAAUUUGUUUAAAUGCGGCCUUUAGGUGAAUAAGGUGAAUAUAAAUAAUUGUCAGAUAGAUAGAGUAUUAUUUAUAUAUAUCAUAUAUAGAUAUUCUAUACACUGUAAAAUGAAAAGUAUUUUGGUGAAUUGCGGCAAUUACAUAGAUAUAGGUAACUAUCAGAUCAAUAUAGAUAUAGAUAUUAUUAUAUAGGUAUUAUGUCUUUAUAAUAUUAGUUGAGAACACAAAUUUAAGUUCUCUUGAGCAUUUAAUUUAUCUCACGCCGCAUUUAACUAUUUUUGCUUAUAAUUCGCAACUAGUUCUAGCACAGCUUGAGUGCAGCUGUUGCCCUGUUGCCAACUGUAGAAAUGAUUUCAUUUUGUGGCUAACACAAGAAAGUAGGCGAUUAACUGGCCAAUUGUAUAUGUGUUUUUCUAUAUGUGCCUGUGUGUGUGUGUGUGUGUGCUUUUUUUUUAUUAUUUUCUGGCCAUUAAAUUGCGGCCCAGUUAAUUGCAGCGUGAAGUUGAACAUUGGACUAGCUCAUUGAAUUGCAAUUCAAUUUUGCGCUAAUGCUUUAUGUACAUUUAUAUUUGUUUAGAUGUGCAGCUUAUAAAGUCUGCAAGCAUUACAUUGGCUACUAAUUUGAUCUGUCAUUUACUUUUAGAGCGCAGUUGGCAACGUUCAGGACAUUGGGCACAUGUGUGUCCACCAUCAUUUCCGACCCUUUCAUUUCGUUUGUAAUUUGAAGCAGCAGUCAAGUGACCAGCAAGAACUACUAACAACAUCAGCAACAACAGCAACAACAGCGACAACUUACCGCAAAUGCACAUUUUCCUUUGAGUUUUUUCUUUUUGAUUUGGCCGGCGUCGCAUUGUCCUUCUUGGAAUUGGCCCAGCCUUUGGCUGGCGAAACGUUUGGUCUGAAAAGUGAAAACAACUUUUACUACUUAGUCUGACUGCUGACUGCCAACUGUCUGCCGAGCUAGACCCUCCUACUCGCCCUACUACCCAGUGCCCCUAUCACGCUUUAUUUGCCCUUGUGCAGCGUCGCCUGCAUUUGCUACGUGUUGUCCUUGCGUCCUGUGUCCGCGGCGCCUCGCCGACGCGUCGUUUAUUUGCCAUUUCCUCGAGCUGGCAAACUUUGCCAUAAAUAUCCCGAACUCCCCCAAAAGGCAAGCUUGUUGUUGCCGUUUUUUUUUUUUUUUUUUUAUUAUUAUUUUCCAUUGUUGUUGCUGUUGCUUUGGGUGAUUGUUUUUGUAGUCGUGUCGCGACAAAAUGCAUUUAAAUAAAUUAUUCCUAGACCAAUGUCGCGUCAUUUUAUUAGCCGCUUUUCUCUACUGCGGGUAUUUCCCCAUUUGCCGACUGUCCUUUCUCUCUCUCUCUCUGUCUGUCCCUGUGCAUGUUUUACUUUACAAAUUUAAUUACAAGUUAAUGACACUUGAACCAGAGUGCAAACCCAAUUGGCAGCCAGCAAGAGUUCCACUGAAUGCUAUCUAUCUAAAUAUGAAUUGACUUUAUCAAUGCCCACAAUUGUUUGCUUAUCUAAAGUCUGGGUUUUAUUAAACUUUACUUUUUUUUUAUCAGUUUGUGUGAAUUUCUCAUGAAUUGCAAUGAGUUCAAGUGUUACGACACUCAAUGCAAUGAAAUUAAAUAGAAAAUACCAAAGACAAACAAAAAACCCUCCUUAUCCAUGUUGGCAAUAGAGACAGAGUCUACCAUUAUUGUUUGCAGACCCAAGAAACUCGGCAACUAUUGGUUUAUAGUUCAUGAAAUCUGUUCCUAAGUAUAAAAAAUAACCUGCAAUCAAUCAGUCAAUGCAGACAUAAGCGAAAUUUUGGUGAGAAACUCGGGAUUCAUUAGAAGUUACAGUGGAAAAUUGUUGAAAUAUUUCAAUACUCACAAUAAUAUUUCAAAUAAUUACAGUAAAAUACUUUGGAUUCUUAAAAAAAUAACUUCAAUUUCACUUUCGUUUUAUAUUUCCAUUAUUCGUCUCUUAAAGUUUCCAGAAGUUCGACUUGCAGAUCAUAGAUCAUUUAGGCUAAUUCACAUUCCGUCUAGACUUGAGGCCUAAAGAAGAUUCAAAGCAGAAAGCAGCAAAGUCUAAAUCUAAUAAGCAGUAUUCUUUAGAGCGAUCUGUUUAAUCGCAGAGAAGUUUGUUAACAAAAAAAAGUAGAUACUUGAAAUCAAGCAACUAUUAUCAUAAAUUUAUUGCUGAUAUUUCGUAUGUUAUAUUCGAGUACAGUCACGACAAUUAGAGAACAUUUUUGUGUUAUCGCAAGCACAUCGCACACCUUUGGCAAACAUUGAUGUGAGCGUUUGUGUGUGUGUGUGAGCAUAAUAAUACAAUACAAGUAUAUUCAUUAGGUGGGUUCAAUGCACUGCUUAAAGUUAAACAAAACGACAGAACAGAAAUAUUUUUGUUCAGCAACACAUGUAAAUUUGUCAAAUGAGUUGUUGUCGCUGUCGUUGUCGUUGUUGUUGUUGUUGUCGCUGACACGCCCCGUGCAGCCCCAUGGCACAGGCCAAACAAAAGUCUGAUUAAUUUGACACUGAACUUAAAAGCCUGGCACGAAAGGAAUCGCAAUCGGAUACCACACAAAAAAAAAAAAAAAAAAAGAAGAGAACUGAAACCCCCUUCGAGCUGAAAUUUAUGUAGCUGCGACCCUCGCCAGUUUCUCGCAUUGACAUUUUUUUGGGUGUUUGCUGCACUUUUUGGCAAAUUUUUGAAUUAUGACUGUCCAAAAAUAAAAAAUAAUACAGCAACAACAAAAAUGUUUAAUUCAAUUUUCGCCAGCAGACGGACGCCGCAAAGCGCAGCAGUUCGCGUGGGCGUUCCAAAAAUGGACAAACCAUCAAGUGAUUUUUUAAUGGCAGUCGCUUGUUUUGCACAAAUAAUCAUAUAUAGUACAGACACACACACACACACACACACACACACAUACACACACUAUGGUAUGGUAUAUCUGGCAUAUGGUCAAGCGGCGUUUGCGUGCCCGAAAAAGGCCGGCAAAAAAAAAAAAAAAAAAAAACGAAAACUUGGAAGGCAACCGGCCGGGCGUUGACUCUGGGCGCGGAAGCGAGACCGGGCGCGGGAACGGGCAGCGGGAACGGGCGGCUGGCAGCGCUGGCUUGGGCUGGGCUUAUCGAAAACAGCACAGGCACUCAGAGCUGCCCACUCCAGACAAUUUCACUACGGCAUUGCGGUCACGUUCUCCUUUCCAAACGAACGCAGAAAAUACAAAAACAACAACAAAGCUCACAAAACGAAUUUUAAAA